rnacentral:rRNA from 1 species
AAAAGCUUUCUUUAAUUGAAUAAUUGAAUUUAAUUUUUUAGUGCAAAAGCAAAAAUAAAAAUUAGGGACAAGAAGACCCUAUGAAUUUUUUAUUAAAUUUUAUAAAACUUUAUAUAAAAUUUAAUUUAAUUGGGGUGAUGGAAAAAGAAUAAAUAUCUUUUUUUUUAAAAAAAAUUGGUUCCGUUUUUAGCGAUUAAAUGAAAAAAAUACUCUAGGGAUAACAGCGUAAUAAUUUUGGAUAGUUCAUAUAGAUAAAAUAGUUUGCGACCUCGAUGUUGGAUUAGGAUUCUUUUUUGGUGAAGAAGUUAAAAAAAGAAGUUUGUUCAACUUAUAAUUUCCUACUUGAUCUGAGUUCAGACCGG